rnacentral:lncRNA from 1 species
ACGGACAGAUCUCUCACCCUUUUACUUUCUCAUCUCCAGCAAAGAAAUCUGAGCCGUGUCCAGCUUAUGCUGUCUGCCCAGACGGCUGGAUCGGGCACCUGGGGAAGUGUUACUAUUUCUCAGAGGCUGAAGGGAACUGGACCUACAGCCAGAGACACUGCUCUGCCCUCGGUGCCUCCCUGGCUGUGAUUGACACCCAGCAGGAAAUGGAUUUCCUGCUGCGCUAUAAAGGACGCUUUGACCACUGGAUCGGCCUCUGGAGGGAACCACGCCAGCCCUGGAUGUGGACCAAUGGCACCAAAUUCAACCACUGGUUUCCAAUAGCGGGAGGAGACCUGUGUGCUUUUGCAAACUACAAUGGUAUUGCCAGUUCAGGCUGCUCCAGGGAGGGACACUGGAUCUGCAGCAAAGCAGCGGAGAAACUAGCAGGCACAGCAAAGUGAGUCGGGCCUUGUCCUGUCAAUGGGGCUGGCCCAAGCUGCCUCAGCGAGUGAGGAACUGGAUGGGGCUGGCGAAGGGGGACAGCCCAGCAGCAGGGAAGAGAGACGCUCGCUGAAGGACAUCAGGUAGCUCCUCCCUUGGAGCCUCUGGCCUCCAUUGGCCCAGUUGGGGACUGGGGUGAGGGUGCGGAUUAGCCAGCAGCCCCCAGCUCACUCUCUGGCACAGAGACAGGAACCUUUUGACUUGAAAAUCAGAAGGGGAGCAGCAAGCAGGAGCCUGGCCCAGGCUGUGGCUAGAGGCCAUUGUACUGGCUGGGGCUUUUGGGAGGUGCUGCAAACCCUGCAGCCAUGGGGCGAAGGGGCCGGUGUGAACCCUGCAGCCUGGGCCAAGGACACAUGAACUCUGCUGUACUGCGAGAAGGGCUGUUGUGCAGGCCCUGCUGAGCGCUGAGGGAGCAUGAAGAGAUGCCAGACAGGAGGGGAUUGCUGGGACGUGCUAGGACAGACGUGUGUGUGUGUAUACAUGUGUGUACAUAAUUAU